rnacentral:rRNA from 1 species
GACGAACGCUGGCGGCGCGCUUAACACAUGCAAGUCGAGCGAGAACCUGGGCUUCGGCCCUGGGGACAGCGGCGAACGGGUGAGUAACACGUGGGUAAUCUGCCCUCGGCAUCGGGAUAGCCCGGGGAAACCCGGAUUAAUACCGAAUGGCCUCCGGAGCCGCCGGGCGCCGGAGCAAAGGUAGCUUCGGCCUCUGGCCGAGGAUGAGCUCGCGGCGGAUUAGCUUGUUGGUGAGGUAGCGUCCCACCAAGGCGAUGAUCCGUAGCUGUACUGAGAGGACGAUCAGCCACACUGGGACUGAGACACGGCCCAGACUCCUACGGGAGGCAGCAGUGGGGAAUCUUGCGCUAAUGCGGGAAACCGUGACGCAGCGACGCCGCGUGGGGGAAGAAGGCCUUCGGGUUGUAAACCUCUUUCAGGAGGGACGAAGCUACUCGGGUUAAUAGCCCAGAGGGUGACGGUACCUCCAGAAGAAGCCCCGGCUAACUACGUGCCAGCCGCCGCCGUAACAC